rnacentral:lncRNA from 1 species
CUGGCUCAAAGAGCAACCAGACACCUCUGCAAGGUUUGGCCAGGGCUAUAGAAGGUCCCCCUGGAUGGUAAUCCUGGCUGCUUUCUGCACUUGAAUAUAAAGUCCUCCCCAAGAUGGCCUGUGGUCUGCCUCUUGGCAACCAAGAAGCCCGCAGUGCCAUGUGACACCUGAGGCAUGGACUGGAGCCCCAAAGGCAGGGUACACCCUUCUCCUGAACCUGCUUCUUGUUUCCUCUAUAUGGCUCCAUUUGUGGCAAAG